rnacentral:RNase_P_RNA from 1 species
CAAGCUGGCCGGGUGAUCGCGGUGGCCGAAUGGAGACGUUCGGUUGCUGAGGAAAGUCCGCACUCCACAGAGCGCGGUGCCGGCUAACAGCCGGGCGGGGCAACCCGACGGCAAGUGCAACAGAGAAGAGAUUGCCCGUCUUUGACGAGUGAGGGUGAAACGGUAGUGUAAGAGACUACCGGCGAUGGCAGCGAUGUCAUCGGCCAGGCAAACCCUACCGGGAGCAAGACCAAGCAGGGUGGAUGGUUAAACUGCAAUUUGCAGUUUAGCCUACGGAGCGGCCCGUUCCGUCUGACAUCCGGGUAGGUCGCACGAGCAUAUCAGUAAUGAUGUGCCUAGAUAGAUGAUCACCACCCUUCGGGGAACAGAAUGCGGCUUAUAGGCUGGCUUGACAU